UACGGAGGAGGCAAGCGUUAUCCGGAAUUAUUGGGCGUAAAGCGUCCGCAGGUGGCACCUCAAGUCUGCUGUCAAAGACCGGAGCUUAACCCCAGAAAGGCAGUGGAAACUGAAGUGCUAGAGUGCAGUAGGGGUAGAGGGAAUUCCCGGUGUAGCGGUGAAAUGCGUAGAGAUCGGGAAGAACAUCGGUGGCGAAAGCGCUCUGCUGGACUGCAACUGACACUCAGGGACGAAAGCUAGGGGAGCGAAUGGG
rnacentral:rRNA from 1 species